AACGAACGCUGGCGGCAUGCCUAACACAUGCAAGUCGAACGAACCCUUCGGGGUUAGUGGCGCACGGGUGCGUAACGCGUGGGAAUCUGCCCUUUGCUUCGGAAUAACAGUUAGAAAUGACUGCUAAUACCGGAUGAUUUCUUCGGACCAAAGAUUUAUCGGCAAGGGAUGAGCCCGCGUAGGAUUAGGUAGUUGGUGGGGUAAAGGCCUACCAAGCCGACGAUCCUUAGCUGGUCUGAGAGGAUGAUCAGCAACACUGGGACUGAGGACACGGCCCAGACUCCUACGGGAGGCAGCAGUGGGGAAUAUUGGACAAUGGGCGCAAGCCUGAUCCAGCAAUGCCGCGUGAGUGAUGAAGGCCUUCGGGUCGUAAAGCUCUUUUACCAGGGAUGAUAAUGACAGUACCUGGAGAAUAAGCUCCGGCUAACUCCGUGCCAGCCGCCGCAGUAAAAC
rnacentral:rRNA from 1 species